rnacentral:snoRNA from 1 species
AAUCCAUGCAUCAGACAUUUCCUAAUUAACUCCUUAAAUCGCUCCCACACUUCAUAUAGCAUUUCAUCUUCAAAUUGCAGAAAUGAUGUAAUAUAAUUUCUCAACUU